rnacentral:rRNA from 1 species
AUUGAACGCUGGCGGCAGGCCUAACACAUGCAAGUCGAGCGGAGCGGCGGACGGGUGAGUAAUGCCUGGGCAUCUGCCUGGUCGUGGGGGAUAACGUCCGGAAACGGGCGCUAAUACCGCAUACUAUCAGAAGAGCCUAGGUCGGAUUAGCUAGUUGGUGGGGUAAAGGCCUACCAAGGCGACGAUCCGUAACUGGUCUGAGAGGAUGAUCAGUCAAACUGGAACGGAGACACGGUCCAGACGCCUACGGAAGGCAGCAGUGGGGAAUAUUGGCCAAUGGGCGAAAGCCUGAUCCAGCCAUGCCGCGUUUGUGAAGAAGGUCUUCGGAUUGUAAAGCACUUUAAGUUGGGAGGCGUUACCAACAGAAGAAGCACCGGCUAACUUCGUGCCAGCAGCCGCGGUAAUAC